rfam:Hammondia hammondi strain H.H.34 contig03343, whole genome shotgun sequence.
CUUCGUUGGUGGCGUACUUCCCUUUUUCGGGCGGAGUAAUCACGCAUACCUGUCAUCUGACACUGCAGAUUCCCUAAGCCCGCUGGUAACGCGGGCUUUUUUUU